rnacentral:rRNA from 1 species
UACGUAGGUGACAAGCGUUGUCCGGAUUUACUGGGCGUAAAGAGCGCGCAGGCGGUCAGAUAAGUCGAAUGUGAAAGCCCCCGGCUCAACUGGGGAGGGUCAUUCGAUACUGUUCGACUCGAAGGCAGGAGAGGGAAGCGGAAUUCCCGGUCUAGUGGUGAAAUGCGUAGAUAUCGGGAGGAACACCAGUGGCGAAGGCGGCUUCCUGGCCUGUUCUUGACGCUGAGGCGCGAAAGCUAGGGGAGCAAACGGG